CCUACGGGAGGCAGCAGUGAGGAAUAUUGGUCAAUGGGCGCGAGCCUGAACCAGCCAAGUAGCGUGAAGGAUGACUGCCCUACGGGUUGUAAACUUCUUUUAUAAAGGAAUAAAGUGAGGCACGUGUGCCUUUUUGUAUGUACUUUAUGAAUAAGGAUCGGCUAAAUCCGUGCCAGCAGCCGCGGUAAUACGGGGGGUCUGAGCGUUAUCCGGAUUUAUUUGGGUUAAAGGGAGCGUAGAUGGGUUGUUAAGUCAGUUGUGAAAGUUUGCGGCUCCACCGCAAAAUUGCAAUUGAUACUGGCAGUCUUGAGUACAGUUGAGGUAGGCGGAAUGCGUGGUGUAGCGGUGAAAUGCUUAGAUAUCACGAAGAACUCCGAUUGCGAAGGCAGCUUACCAA
rnacentral:rRNA from 1 species